GCCGUGGGCGCUGGAGAAUUGAGGGGGGCUGCUCCUAGUACGAGAGGACCGGAGUGGACGCAUCACUGGUGUUCGGGUUGUCAUGCCAAUGGCACUGCCCGGUAGCUAAAUGCGGAAGAGAUAAGUGCUGAAAGCAUCUAAGCACGAAACUUGCCCCGAGAUGAGUUCUCCCUGAGACUUUAAGUCUCCUGAAGGAACGUUAAAGACGAUGACGUUGAUAGGUCGGGUGUGUAAGCGCAGCGAUGCGUUGAGCUAACCGAUACUAAUGAACCGUGAGGCUUAACCUU
rnacentral:rRNA from 1 species